rnacentral:rRNA from 1 species
AUCGAUGUGAAUUGCAGGACACCCCGAUCACUCGACAUUCGAACGCACAUUGCAGCCACUGGAUAUCCGGUGGCUUCGUUUGUCUGAGCGUCGUAUACAAUAUGUUCAUAAAACAAUUUGAAGAUUUGUUCGUCGCCAUUUGUUUGGCGUCGUCGAAUCAAUUCAAACGAUUGAUGAUGCUGACCUUACGUGAUUCGAAAUGUGGCUUUGUUGCACAUUCUCACGGAAAGGUAUUUGGCGUUUCCAGCCGAACACCUGUGAAUGUGUGCCCAUUGAAUUACCAGUCACUUGUCAUUGUUUUCAAUAAAUAAAAUGUUAAACUUCGACCUCAGAUCAAGCGAGAUUACCCGCUGAAUUUAAGCAUAUAAUUAAGCGGAGGAAAAGAAACCAAAUGGGAUUCUCUGAGUAACGGCGAGCGAAGGAUCCCG